UGCCCAUUUCUGACAAGUCUCUUAGGAUUCCGUAACGCCACGCUGUAUCAUACGCCUUUUCCAUAUUGAGAAAUAUCGAUAGGAAGAACUGUUUAUGUAUAAAUGCGUCCCGGAUAUUUGCUUCAACACGUACGAGAUGAUCGGUUGUAGACUGCCCUUCUCGGAAGCCGCACUGAUACAGAUCAAGCAUUUUGCUCAUUUCAAGAAAAUGGAUGAGUCGCCGAUUAAUAAUUUUUUCAAAUACCUUACAAAGGCAACUUGUGAGGGCGAUCGGGCGGUAACUUGCCACUGAGGAAGGAUCUUUGCCGUGUUUCAAAACAGGAACCACAAUGGCUUCUUUCCAUGCAGUUGGGAGGUAUCCUGCAGCCCAAAUGGUGUUAAAAAUUGUGAGUAGUGUAACUUUGGUGUCAUUGUGUAGGUUUUUGAUCAUGUCAUACAUGAUUCUGUCAGAUCCGGGUGCAGAGCUCUUGCAUGAGCUCAAGGCAGCUUUCAACUCCGCAAUACUGAAAGGGCAGUUGUACGAUUCAUUCUGUAGACAUUUUCUUUUGAGUGGCUUACAUUCUUCUAUUUGUUUAUAUUUCAGAAAGGUUUUCGAAUAAUGUUUUGAACUUGACACACUCUCAAAGUGCUCCCCAAGUGAGUCUGCCUGAUGUUGCAGCGUAUCAUCCUGUGUGUUUACCAGAGGGAGUGAAUAUGUUUGUCGCCCUCUAAUUCUAUUUACGCGGUUCCAGACUUUCGCCUCAUCUGUAAACAAGUCGAUGUUCGAUAAAAACUUUUGCCAACUCUCUCUUCUGGCCUGUCGGUGGGUUCUCCUGCCUUGAGACUUAACUUUCUUAAAGUUAACAAGAUUCUCUGCAGUGGGCGAAGGGCGUAGCGACCCCCACGCUUUGUUUUGAUUCCUACGUGCAAUUCUACAUUCAUCGUUCCACCACGGGACAUGCCGUUUGCAUGCCGAGCCACUUACUUCACGUAUGCAUUUAGAUGCGGCAUCUAUAAUGAAGGCUGUAAAGUAAUCCACAGCAGCAUCAAUUUCUAACGAGGACAUGUCAUCGCAUGUUAUGCUAGUUAAGGUUCGGAAUUUCUCCCAGUCUGCUGUGUCAAUCUUCCACCUAGGAGCCUGUGGUGGAUAUUCGUUUUGUUUAAGUGUUCUUAAUAGUAUGGGGAAGUGGUCGCUUCCGUAAGGAUUGUUCGUAACUUCCCAUUCGAGUUCAGGCAGUAUGGGCGGGGAAACUAUGCUCAGAUCAAUUGAAGAAAAGGUGUUGUUUGCGAGACAGUAAUAUGUGGGUUUCUCCUUAUUCAGAAGGCGCGCACCAGAGGAAAAAAGGAACUGUUCAACAAGACGACCUCGCUCAUCUAUAUGAGAGUCGCCCCACAGGGAGCUGUGCGCAUUGAAAUCGCCAAGAACAACAUAAGGUUCUGGCAAUUGAUCUAUAAAGGAUUGGAAUUCAUGUUUCGUUAACUUGUAAUGUGGGGGUAUGUAAAGAGAGCUAAUAGUGAUGAGUUUGUUUAGGAGAACAGCUCGAACCGCCACUGCUUCAAGGGGCGUUUGUAGCUGUAAACGCUGACAGGCUAUACUUUUCUGAGUGACAAACGCAACACCACCCGAUGAUGCGACGGCAUCAUCGCAAUCUUUGCGAAACGUAACAUACGUUCGGAGAAAGUUGGUGUGUUUGGAUUUUAAGUGUGUUUCCUGUAAACACAGCACUUUUGGAUUAUGUUUGUGGAUGAGUUCGUGUACAUCAUCAAGGUUUCUAAGAAGACCUCUGACGUUCCACUGAAUUAUUUGUGUAUCCAUUCUUAAAGUAAAUUGGUGCUGUGCAUACAGAAACGGAAGGAAUGUCUUAGAUUACAGAGCCCUUUCGAGGCCCUGUAAUAGGGGUUUUGCCCUUUCUGAAGCGCUCGAGCGAGUCGAGGCGCUCCUUAGGCAUUUGGUGCGCCUUAAGGACAGGUGUAGUGUCCAUUGCCUCCUGUGAGACGCCGGACAGGCGCUCUUGCAAGCGAGAGGUUUUCCGAGAGAGUCCUACCCCGGAAGGCAAGACCCCUGCGCCCACCAGCCCGGAGGUCGAUGGAGCUCCCUGAGGGAUUUGGCUGCGCUGGCCGUUGCCAGCGCUGGAAGGGGCCUCGGAGGUUGGGGCAGCCUCGGCUGCGCCCACCUUCAGGGUCGAUGGCCCCGUCUGCUGGGUUGGCAGAGCAGCGCUAGCUGCAACCGCCAUGGGGGCAGAUGGCGUAACUGCCGACUCACUGUUUGUGGGUCGGACAGCCGCCGGAGGCCGUUGUGACGCUGCCCCCUGACGUGCCACUUCGGCAAAGCUUUUCUUUGGCAGGAUGGGCACGACCGCGAGUACGCGGCGUGCUCCCCAUCACAAUUUACACAGUGGAGAGAAUUCUCACAAGCUUCAGAGGAGUGUUCAUGCGCGCUGCAUUUCGCACAAGUUUGGCGGCCUCGGCAGCUCUGCGAACUGUGGCCAAAACGCUGGCACUUGAAACAUCGGAGGGGAUUUGGCACGUACGGUCUUACACGGAGCUUGAUGUACCCGGCCUCGAUUGACUCGGGCAGGACACUUGAAUUGAAGCAGGGCCUGGCGAACAUGGCAUGCGCAAGGACACCCUGGGCACCCACAACUGACAGGAGCGAACCAGCAAUUCAUCGCUAGAACUGCAAUGGCACCAAGCCACAGGUCUUCUCUUCUGCAUGCUGGAUACCCACCGACAUGAGUGAACCACAUCCCCAUCUAAAACUUCUUUCUAAAUUAUUUGACAAGGGCAGUACACUGCUGUCAUCUAUGAUCAAUAAGCUAAACAAGCAUGAAACAACACAAAGCAGGCAAACUGUAAUGGUCAGGCUGCACUUUUCCGAAGCACUGAAGGGGGUUAACGAUGCACCAUUGCCAUGGCACUUUCGGCAGCUCAAGCUUGGAUGGGCAUAAACAAUUGUGCCUCCUCACAGAAAAGUUUAGUGCAAGAGCAGGAUGAAGACAGCACAAGGCAGUCUUUCUAGCAAUCACAGUAUUACUGUUCUUAAUGGUCAAUUGCAAGAAGUUUGACAUCCCGCAAUCACACCCGGGCUGUGAGGGGCUUGAAAUAAGCACACAAGCAGCUUUCCUGAUUGUUAUUACUCAAUAAAGCCUCUGCAUCGGAGCAACUAGCAACUUUGUGACUUGCCAGCAACACUAACUUUGGUUACAGACUACAGCAAAGCCGGCUGGUGCGGCGGGCAAUAAGCCGUUGCAGGAAGUUCACCCUUAGUUCACCCUUACAUGGUUUGUAGCCAUAGACCCCAUC